AACUCCUCAAUGCACGAAAGUGUGAUGGGGUUAUCCCGAGUGCCGUCCGAUGAGGAUGGCUUUUGCCUGGUUUAAGGAGCCGGGUGAAUAAGAGGGGGGCAAGACUGGUGUCAGCCGCCGCGGUAAUACCAGCCCCUCGAGUGGUAGGGACGAUUAUUUGGCCUAAAGCGUUCGUAGCCUGCCCAGCAAGUCCUUUGUGAAAUCCGGCGAUCCAAUCGUCGGGCGUGCAUAGGAUACUGUUGGGCUUGGGGACGGGAGAAGUCGAUGGUACUCUUGGUGUAGGGGUGAAAUCCUAUAAUCCCAAGAGGACCACCAGUGGCGAAGGCGGUCGACUAGAACGUGCCCGACGGUGAGGGACGAAAGCUGGGGGAGCGAACCGGAUUAGAUACCCGGGUAGUCCCAGCUGUAAACGAUGCAGGCUAGGUGUUGGGUCAGCUACGAGCUGCCCCAGUGCCGCAGGGAAGCUAUUAAGCCUGCCGUCUGGGAAGUACGGUCGCAAGGCUGAAACUUAA
rnacentral:rRNA from 1 species